rnacentral:rRNA from 1 species
AACGCUAGCUACAGGCUUAACACAUGCAAGUCGCGGGGCAGCAUGAAUUUAGCUUGCUAAAUUUGAUGGCGACCGGCGCACGGGUGAGUAACGCGUAUCCAACCUUCCCUUAUCCACGGGAUAGCCCGUCGAAAGGCGGAUUAAUACCGUAUGAGGUCACAUGACGGCAUCAGAGUGUGACGAAAGGUUUAGCGGAUAAGGAUGGGGAUGCGUCCGAUUAGCUUGUUGGCGGGGUAACGGCCCACCAAGGCGACGAUCGGUAGGGGUUCUGAGAGGAAGGUCCCCCACAUUGGAACUGAGACACGGUCCAAACUCCUACGGGAGGCAGCAGUGAGGAAUAUUGGUCAAUGGGCGAGAGCCUGAACCAGCCAAGUAGCGUGCAGGACGACGGCCCUAUGGGUUGUAAACUGCUUUUAUGCGGGGAUAAACUGCGCCACGUGUGGCGCAUUGCAGGUACCGCAUGAAUAAGGACCGGCUAAUUCCGUGCCAGCAGCCGCGGUAAUACGGAAGGUCCGGGCGUUAUCCGGAUUUAUUGGGUUUAAAGGGNACCGUAAGCCGCUGUUUUAAGCGUGGUUGUGAAAAACNGGGGCUCAACUCCNGUCGUGCAGCGCGAAACUGGACAGCUUNANUGCGCGGNUAAGUGGGCCGGAANUUUGUGGUGUAACCGGUGGAAAUGCUUNAAAUUCACGAAGAACUCCGAUUG